GUGCAUUCUGUUUUGAGGUAUGAAGAGAGGGAUAAUAAAAGGUGCAUAAUUAUCUGAAAAUAAAUUUGCGUAGGAAGAGCCAAUCUUAUCCCCAGGUAUUGAAAAGAUGAACCGAAAAUAAGGUGAAAUAAGCGAGGAAGUGACUGAGAGGGAUUAACAAUAGAUAAUAAACCAAUGUCUGCAUAAGCCGCAACCUUAAGCUCUGCACCAAUCGUAACACCCUGGAUAGCACUAUCUUCUGUUAUACAAUGAAUAGGUUCUAAUGAGAGGGAAGAUAGAAUUGGAGAAAGAAGGCACCAUUGUCGAGUGCCAUUAAAAUUCCCAAAAGGAACUGCCUGUGAUCCAGGCAGUGGCGGAUCCAGGGGGGGGCAACGGGGCAAUUGCCCCCCCCCGAGAAAUCCGCCGGUCUCCCUCUCCCUCCCCUGCCAGCAUGGCAGGCACAGUGCUGAGAACCGGCAGGGGAGGGAGGGAGUGAGAGAGAGGACCCGGAGCUCAGUCUGCAGCUCCUCCGGGUCCUCCUCUCGUGAAAUUUGAAGCUCCAAAUCUUGCGAGAGUGAACUCUAGCCCGGGAGUGCGGGCUAGAGUUCACUGUCCCCACUGGGACCCACAGGGAAUCCCCCACCGUCCACCAGGGAACGAAAUAUGUCCCCCCUCCUCCUCAAUAAAGGUAAGAAGGGAGGGGGGACAUAUUUCGGAUAAAUAAUUAAAUAAAAAAAUUAAAUUCGAAUUAAAUAAAAAAAUAUAUAUAUUAUAAAAAAAAAGCCACACACACAUACAUUGCCCCCAAUACUGCACACAAACUGCCCCCCAUUCACACAAACUGCCCCCCAUACACACAACUGCCCCCCAUACACACACACUGCCCCCCACUUACACAAACUGCCCCCCAUACACACAAACUGCCCCCAUACACACCACUGCCCCCCAUACACACAACUGCCCCCCAUACACACAAACUGCCCCCCCAUACACACACACUGCCCCCCAUACACACACACUGCAACUGUUACACACACAUACUGUCCCACACAUACAUUGCAUCCCUGACAUACACUGCCACCCUUCACAUACACACUGCACCCCUUACACAUUGCACCACUCACACACACCACUGCUCCUAUGCCCUACUACAGCCCCAUUUCCCAGCAGAUCUCAGGUAAGUUGUCAAACUGUUCUUAAACGGUUUGACUACUUACUGUGGGAGGGGGUCCCGGCACUAUUGACACCAUAACCACUACACUGAGCUGUAGUGGUUAUUGUGUCUGGAUUAUUUCUUUAAAUAAUCUACAAGUGCCCCUCCCGAGAUCAGGCUCUGGAUCCGCCACUGGAUCCAGGAAGUUGUUUUUGUGCCCAUAUUAAUAUAGAGCAUGAAUUGUUGUGAUUAAAGAGACUGGAAAGCCC